CGCUUCUUUAUGCACAGAUCCCUGGAUUUCACGAUGGCCCUCUGCUGCAAUGCCGAUGCUUCAGGGACGUCAUGAAGUUUGGAGGUGAUCGAGUCUCGGGAGCAUGCGCAGCAGCGAGCGGCACCAGACGGAGGAGCCAGUGAGCGCGCUGACAGACGGUUCUCUCGCCUUCCGGAAGCAUUUGCAGCAGCGCCGGGAGCCUGGAGCUGGAGUCCACGCUGGUGACGCUCGCACCAGUGAAAGAAUGGGUUCGUGUACGGUGUCUGAUGUUGUAAACAAUCUUUUCCAUA